rnacentral:rRNA from 1 species
GGUUGCGAUCAUACCAGCACUAAUGCACCGGAUCCCAUCAGAACUCCGCAGUGAAGCGUUUUUGGGCGAGAGUAGUACUAGGAUGGGUGACCCCCUGGGAAGUCCUCGUGUUGCAACCC